GGAGCCUAGGAUUUAGAAGGACUCUCUUUAUCGAGAUAUAAAAAGAGUUGGUAGAAGAGGCCAGCAGCCGCGGUAAUUCCAGCUCCAAUAGCGUAUAUUAAAGUUGUUGCAGUUAAAAAGCUCGUAGUUGGAUUUCUGGUUUGGUGCGCCUGGCCCACUACCUUUAGGUACGUGAGUGCCGGUGCGCGCCUGCCAUCCCUUCUAGAGAACGGCUCUGUCCUUCACUGGUCGGAGUCGCGAUCUAGAUCUUUUACUUUGAAAAAAUUAGAGUGUUUAAAGCAGGCUUGCGCCAUGAAUACAUUAGCAUGGAAUAAUAAUUUAGGACUUUGUUUCUAUUUUGUUGGUUUCUAGGAACGAAGUAAUGAUUGAUAGGGACAGUUGGGGGUGCUAGUAUUCAUCGGCCAGAGGUGAAAUUCUUGGAUUCGAUGAAGACUAACUUAUGCGAAAGCAUUCACCAAGGAUGUCUUCUUUAAUCAAGAACGAAAGUUGGGGGAUCGAAGACGAUCAGAUACCGUCGUAGUCUCAACUAUAAACGAUACCGACUAGGGAUUAGUGGAAGUUGCAUUUUCGACUCCAUUAGCACCUUAUGAGAAAUCAAAGUCUUUGGGUUCCGGGGGGAGUAUGGUCGCAAGACUGAAACUUAAAGGAAUUGACG
rnacentral:rRNA from 1 species